UACAGAGGGGGCAAGCGUUGUUCGGAAUUACUGGGCGUAAAGGGCGCGUAGGCGGCCCGCUAAGUCGAACGUGAAAUCCCCGAGCUCAACUCGGGAACUGCGUCCGAUACUGGCGGGCUGGAAUCCGGGAGAGGGAUGCGGAAUUCCAGGUGUAGCGGUGAAAUGCGUAGAUAUCUGGAGGAACACCGGUGGCGAAGGCGGCAUCCUGGACCGGCAUUGACGCUGAGGCGCGAAAGCUAGGGGAGCAAACGGG
rnacentral:rRNA from 1 species